AUCAUACGAUCGAUAAAAACAAACUUGACAAUACAUCUCGUCGGGUGUGCGGUUGAUUUUGCGUAGAAAGCUUAUCCUGGGAAAAGGUGUGCAAUCAUGGUUUUUGGCGAAGCUCUAGUGUUGGCGUUCCUGGCCACAACAGUAGCCUUAUUUGGUGUGUCUGUGCACAGCAUUUUCACAUCCAAGCACAACUCGCUGAUGGAAUUGAGAAAACUGGAGGAUCAGAUGAUGGAAAAGUACGGCUGGAAUCCUUCAAUGCCUUACAAUGCAUACAACUAAAGAUAAAAAGCGUAGAGGAAAAGCUUAAACUGGAUUUUUCAACCAGAUAAUUGCUGGCCUUCAGUAAGUGUGAAGAAACCGUAGAUCGAGGUUGCAUUGGAAUUCCAAGUUCCACAAUAAUUUUUUUGUAUAUUGGCGUGUUAACUACAA